rnacentral:rRNA from 1 species
AAUUGGAGGGCAAGUCUGGUGCCAGCAGCCGCGGUAAUUCCAGCUCCAAUAGCGUAUAUUAAACUUGUUGCAGUUAAAAAGCUCGUAGUUGAAUUUCUGCUGUAUCGUUAUCUUCUGCUUGACAGUUUGAUUUCGUUAUGGCUUAGUUGGGUCACUUUGUGUCCCGGCGUUUACUUUGAGAAAAUUAGAGUGCUUCAAGCAGGCUUUUGCCUUGAAUACUUUAGCAUGGAAUAAUGGAGUAGGACUUUGGUUCUAUUUUGUUGGUUUUAGGAGCCAGAGUAAUGGUUAAUAGGAACAGUUGGGGGCAUUCGUAUUUGACUGUCAGAGGUGAAAUUCUUAGA